GAUAAAUAGUCUGGAAGGGAUGUAGGAUUUUUUUCAGAUGUUAUAGUGAGUGGUUUAGUUUUUUAAGCAAACUGUACUCUUCAAAAUUAUGCUAAGAAAAAAUAUAUUUCAGAAGUAAAUGUAUUAUGCAAAUAUAACUUGUUGUGUUUAGCUAUUUUAUGCUUAUAGUUCUAUAUAAGUUUCUAAUCCUGUUUGUGGAUUUUUAAAAUUGUGGUAUAUUUAAUAUUUCAAAAUAACUUGUAGCAAAUGAUUGUUGGUUUAAGGUAUGAGUUUAUACAAUCCCGGAGAUAACAUGAAAUAUUAAGUAUUAAUUUCCCUGAAAGGGGACCAAAUGUUGUCUUGCUUAAUUUUAUAUGAAUGCCCCAUAAUUCUUACUGAUAGUACUACAUAGAAGUUUCAUAUUUAUGUCUUUGCUGUCUGAACAGUUCAUGAUUAGUGAGAGCCAGACUGUGAAAAUAAGUUUUGGGAAGAACUUGUGGUAAUCUACUUUUCACCAAAUGCUUCAGUUCACAUGGAGAGACUGGCAAGAAUAUACAUUAAUAAGUGUACAAAAUUUUAAUAUGAUAUAAGUUUUUACAGUGACUGACAUUAAUAAAACCUUACCUGGCUAUUAGCCAUGACAGUUUAUUAAAAAUCGAUGUUUAAGGGAUCAGCUGAAUCUGUGUCAAGAUUUGAUGUAAGAGUCCAUCCAGACAAGGCCACAUAUAUGCUUAACCAGUGCCUGUGUUCGAAGCUGUGGAUGAGCCAGUUGGGUCUAGUGGGUGUAGGCAAGUGCUGGCUUAGCUUGGCCUUGCGUCCAGAUUGAUGUCUUUGUAUUGUUUGAGUGUGUUGGCCACUGGGUACCAGGACUGACAAAGUGAAACAACCGUCCCCAUUAAAGUUUUUGGGGUGGAGCCUGAUCUCAAUAGCCUCUUUUAUUACAUGGCCCACGUAUCUUGUGGCCUUAUCCAGGUUGAAUAUUCUUUUAAAAUUUAUGGAAUGUCCUGUAUCAGAUCUGUGCUCUGCCGUGGUAGAGUUAUCUGGCUGGCCCAGUAAUAUGUCCCAUGUGUUCUCUGCAUCUGGUUUCAGUGCAUUUGCCAGUCUGUCCAACAUAGACUUAUGUAAAAUUUUAAGUUAUGUUCUAAUUGUAUUUAAUAUCAUUACCUAUUAACAUACAGUAUUCCAUGUCAAUGUUUUGGAGAAAACACACUGUCCAUAUUUAGGGUCAAAGAUAGAAACUAUGUUUCUCCGAAGUGUUGACAUCUGUCAUUGAGUCUGCUUGGCAUCAAAACCCAGAAUGAGAACAUCAUUAUCAUCCUCAUUGCCAUGAAGACUUCAGAUCUCAUACAAUAUUUAAUUUGUAAUUAUAUUGAUUAUAUCAUUACAGACUCAACCCAUGUUACAGCAUAUUUAUGCUAUCUUUAGGGGCAUUAUUGGCUAAAAUCUGCUAACAUAAAAUUAAAAUUAUAUUAACCUUUAUGAUGGCUGUCUUCUGAGUUUUUGCAGUGUUUAGUCUGUAGAUCUUAACUGGCAUUUUCAUUGCUCUGGUGAUGGAACCAGCAAGUGCCUGUGAAAUGGUAAACUUCUACCAGACUACACGGCACAACCCAAAAGGCAGCCAUGUGUAUUUUGAUCACUGUAAGAACCAGAGAUCUUAGUAAAGUAAGCUAAAGAUAUGAAUAUGUUGGCUUCAAUGAAAUAUUGUAGUUGACUGUUUUUUUCUUUUGUAUUUGUUGCUUGUGUCAAUCUUCUGUCUAAUUUCUAGUUUGUAUAUUGCUAUCUUGGAUACUACUAGACUGUGUUUAUUUCUGACCUCUGUCUGCUGAAAUUAUAAGAAGGUUUGGUUAAUGUUUGUUUUAGGGUUUUUUCACAUUAUGAUAUUCAGAGCUCAACAAAUCCCAGGCACCAGGUCUCCAUGUCACAUUGAAAUCUUCUUGUGGCAGCUAAUAUUUUCACGUAUGCUUUAUAUUGGAUUUUGCUGUUUUGAAAACACAGAUCGAAAAUGAAUGCACCAUGGAACUGAUCAUCUCAGGCAGCAAAUGAUCUGGGCACCAAAUUGUUUAUUUCACGAUUAUUUGCAGUGAUUAUUGUUAGAGAUUUUACUUUCGAUGUCAUUAGAUGGUGCAAGUUUAGCUUGUGUGCUGAUUUGAAGGUACAGACCGCUGUGUACGUGUGUUAUUCAGUAAACUCAUACAGAACGGGCUUGACAAAUAAUGAUAUAUAGUACUGUGGUUCAUAUGCGUGUUUACCAUCCAUAACUGUGAUUGUUUCUGUAGGUUAUAAUGUUUGUUUCGUUGUUUUACUUUUGUGCAUAGUGCACUAAAGUUUAUAGGAGUGAGCCCCAUAUCUAAUAUUUUACGUGAUAACUGACCCGUAUUCCCUUGAAAUUCAGCUCCAUUGUCAAUGAUGUCAAUUAUAUGCCCUGUGAGAAAUAUAACUGUCAAAAUUGGGCAUUGUUUUGUUUUAAUACAAUUUUUAAAUUUGCACUUACUUUAUUGUUUUAUCACAUGUAAUUUGCAUAAACAGUGUAGGGAUAGGACAUUUAUGUUAAGGCUUCUGUGAAUGGUGUGUUACAGUUACUAUUACUGGAUUUCUGUACUUUGCCCAUUAUCUUAUGUCACAUUCAUCACCAUUAUGUGCAGUGAGACAUCUGAUGUACCAGUUGGACCCUUACUUUUCCUCAUAUAUAUCAAUGACCUGCCGGCAACUAUAAACUCUAUAUCCAAACCUAUUCUUUUUGCCCACAUCAACAGUGUGCCGGCCGACCACGCAAUGCAAGCAUGACCGCAGCCUCAUAAAUUGUAGACCCGGUAUAUUACUGACUUUUCAAUGCAUAUCCUGCACCAUAGUGAAUGAGUUAAGUAGAAGAAUGUAAUUCCUGUGACAUUCACUUAAAUCUUGUGAUAUUAAAAUGUUGUGGUGUGUGAUUGGUAGCAUGAGGUAUGUGCAAAGUUUGUAUUUCUGGCUUUUAAAUAAUGGAAAUGUGUACAAAUUUGUAAACGAUAGCUGCUAGUAAAAACCACUAAAACAGCUGUAAGCAUCGUUAUUAUAGGAAGUACAGCAGCACUGCAGGGCGUCUGAAUACGAGGCACAACUGCUGGCCAGACGACUGUAAUAAUCUCUUGUCAAUAUCAGAGAUGGCGUGCUUCGGUAUUUUGUAGUGCACCUACAAUUCUUAACACAUGGCUGCUGCAAGUUUUUUCCAUAACGUCAAUUGUUGGUUCAAGAGGAACAGCCGCCAGAGAGCUAUUUUACCAUUGUAAUAAAUUGUUUAAUUACCAUACUUCAUUAUUCUCUUUGACUCGACUAGGUGCUACAACACUUUCCAAAAUCAGAAUGUUAUUCGAACAGGCACAAUACGAAUCAAUGGAACGAAAUGGCUAACCAAUGACUGAAUAUCUUUCAUACAAACAAUAUGGUGGCAUCGUUAUUUGAAUCGGUUGUGUGAACGAAUAUUGUCUUGGAGUGUAUAUAAAUUUACGGCCAACUGUACGUUUGGUGCCUUGACGAAGUUGUGGUUGGAAAGAGUUGCUAUUUAAAAUAUAAGUGAUCUAUUUUUGGUGUUUUCAUCGUUUUACUUUGGUGUUUUGCUGGUCUUGUGGUUGGAGACUACAUCGUUGAAGGCCUGAAAUUGAAGCAUUAUUAUAAUUUAUGUGCAGUCCACAGAUCCUUCAUAGUACAACCCAAGGAUGUGGAACAUGUCUAGUAUGAAUAUGAACAGUAGUGGUACAAUGAAAUAAGUAAAGUAAAGUU